rnacentral:misc_RNA from 1 species
GUGGGAGCCGGGCUUGCCCGCGAUGGCGGUGUGUCAGUCACAUCAACUUCGCCUGUGAUACCGCUAUCGCGGGCAAGCCCGGCUCCCAC